GUGACAUGAGCCACAUGAUUGAGACACAGGCAUUAGAGCCUCUUAUUGCGUGUUUCGUUUGGGUUUCCAGCAAUGCGUGAAAUUGCCAAAGAUAGAGAGGGCAUAGCCUAACAUAUGAAACAGGAAAAGACCGCUGUGUAAUCCAUUUAUUGCAAGAAAGUAACCCCCCUCCAGGGGCAAGGGUACCUAGACCCGCUUCGUAGAGUACGCUUGGGGAGUGUGAUCGUGUGUACAGCGUCUCUUUAUGUCUGUCUCCACGUUGGUUGAGUGUGGAGUAAGUGCAUAUGAGAGCAUGAGAGUGGGAAUGGAUGUUUGUGUCUGUGUGUGCCUGUAUGUCUGUGUCUAUAUGUCAGGUUGGGUAUCAGACGCCACCUCUCUGGGGACAUCUCAGGCCCUCCAAGGUUUGGAGGCCUAUCUCCCCCCACCACCACUUCCCCUGCCAGUGGCGGACUCCCUCAGACAUCGGUGCGUUGGUGAUUCUUUGUGUCUGGGGGUGGGCGUCCGGGUACACACCGGCUCACUCCUUGGCGGCCGCUUAUCGGGGCCUGGAGCCUGGGGCUCGCUGGGGCCACUUCGGAGGUGGGGUGCCCAGCUGGCUGCCGGCGGAGCUCACGGGCGCGUCACUGCAACUCCCCCUGGCUUCUGCUCCGCGGCUGCUGAGUGAGCCCUCAUCUGGGACUCUCCUCAGCUCUUACUGGGACAGUGGCGCGGCUGCCCCUCUGUUGGUAUUCCUUGGUCUCUUGUGCUCUGGGGGCCUCUGGAUGUCUGGAGUUUUGAUCUCCUCCAUACCUGCUUCAUACCCUGGUGGACGGGGCUGUGGCUCCACACACUCCCUAGCAGAUCGUUACAUGGAGAAACCUUUGGAAUGCAAGCAUGCUGAUCCACACAGGUGACCCAGGUGUUUUUUUUUUUUUUUUUUUGUUUUUCUUUCUUCCCCCCCUCCUCACCGUCUCUUCUCCCCUUUGGUUUUCUUUCUCUCCCUCUCUUUCUUUCUCCCUGUCCUAUCCCCCAGUCAUGUCUGUCCUGUUUGUAGCAACUAAAAAUAAAACAAAUUCAUAAUUAUAAUAAAGGUCAAUCAAAUGGACCAAUAUGGCAAGGCCAUGAUGAUCCACUUGGUAAAAUAAAUCCGCUUGGCAUCUUUCUUAGCCUUAAGACAACAAUUCUGAUGGCUAAAGAUCCAAACGGGACACAAAAAAAAAAAAAAAAAAAAAAAAGUAACCAUAUUCUGAAUACCACCUUUUUUUAAAUAGUAACUGUAACGGAAUACAGUUACUCAUGUUUUGUAUUUUAAAUACGUAACACCGUUACAUGUAUUCUGUUACUCCCCAACACUGGUUACCUCACCCUUCUGUACUCCUGUUUCCAAGAGUUAUUUCUCCAGUACAAGUUUCAGUUGUGAUUUUUUUCAUCUGUUAUCUUCUGCAUUUUGAGCGAGUUGGGAAUAAGGCAACCAUCCAUCAGAGCCGUGCCAGCGACCAAGUGGCUCCUCCAUAGUUAGAAAGCCUCAUGUCCUGGGCACUUCAAACCCGCCAGUUAUUGGCCCUGAAGAAACAGAGGGUCACAGACCGAUUCCACUUCAAGCUAGGGAAACAGAUUACAUCUGUUUUAGAAAAACAACAAAACAAAAAAAACAAAACAAAGAGCUUUAGUAAGGUCUUCAGAUGCAGUUUAAAGGACAGAUUUUAUCAUGGCAGCCAGCAUCAAACUCAAGGGGUGGAUGAAGGUGAUAGACAGGUCUGGUCUCCCUGGGCAGUUCAAGCCAUGGGUUUAGCAGCAGAUUCUCUCAUGAAUUAUCUGGCCCUCGCUCGUAUAUGAGGUGCCCAUGACUAUAGUCCCAUUUCCUCC
ensembl:lncRNA